rnacentral:rRNA from 1 species
UGAGUAAUCUGCCCUUCACUCUGGGAUAAGCUUCGGAAACGGGGUCUAAUACCGGAUACGACCAGCCUCUGCAUGGGGUGUUGGUGGAAACUUUUGUGGGUGGGGGAUGUGCUCGCGGCCUAUCAGCUUGUUGGUGGGGUAAUGGCCUAUCAAGGCUUCGACGGGUAGCCGGCCUGAGAGGGUGACCGGCCACACUGGGACUGAGACACGGCCCAGACUCCUACGGGAG